GGGGGGGGGGACCUAAGGAAAAAAGAUCUGAAAGAUAUCCUAAAGCUAGAGCGCCGCUUUCAGAGAACCCCACCCCCUCGAUCGAGUAUCUUCUUCUUCUUAUGCCAUUUUCAAUGGUUUCGUCUGAAGCAAAAAGCAACGACUCCAUGAGCUACUGUUCUUGAACAAAAUUGAGACCCUAAGCAUCAACUUCCUCUUAUCCAAAAAGAAAAAAAAUAAAAGAUCCGAGCAUCUAGAAACGGGAGGGAUCGAAAAUUUCCAGGAGUUUCUUCGUCUCGUAACUCCGACGACCCUCCAUUGAGUCCGGCGAAAGCCGAGUUCGAACCCAGUGGUAAACUCAGCUACAAAACCAUCUGAAACAACAACUCAAAGCAGCACGAAACACACACAAAAUUAGCCAAGGUUUUAAGUCAAGCCCGUCGAGGUCGCCCGUUUGGUGUUCCAGUCGAAGGUUUCAUUUUCAAUUUCCAGUAACCUGUAUUGCCGAGGUAUUUACCUGGAGUUUAUUUUCCGUUUGUUCAAUCAACUACUGAAGAAAAUCAUUGCUUAUUGAGGUGCACUUUUAUUUGAUACUUUUUCUUAGCAUGCUUAGCUUGUAUGUAUGAGUGUGUGCAUGUCAUGAUUCAUUCAUUGUGUUUAUAUGUUGGGUCAUAUUGAUUUACUGCCUUCCUAGUGGUGUAUUAAAAUUUAGAAUUUUAUUUUGUUUGCUUGUUUCUUUUGUUUUGAUGAAGUAGUUUGUAAAACACUUGUUGAAUUUUUAUGAUUAAUUUGGAAGAUGAAAGAUCUGUUCAGACGAAUUCUAAUAUCGGCCGUAUGAAUUGCAUGAUUUUGUUAGUUUAUGGGGUUGUAGGCUUGGUUUGGAUCCUUAGAAGAAUUGAUGUUCAAGUUUAAGUAAAAGGGUUGCAUGAUAAUCCCACAGUUUAGUUCAGCGCUAGUUUCUUUAGGCACGUUACAAUAAAAUUAUCAUAGCUACGAGUACAGUACCCGUGACGUAGUUAUGAUACAUAAUCCCAAAUUCGGGGGAGCAUUUCAUGUAACCCAAUUAUAACAACUUCGAAUAAUGAGUGUGAGCACGUGAUUUUUGCUUCACGGAAACUACUCCGAAAGAAAUAAAAAAAAUAAAACAAAUGACCUUUAGGUACAAUUUUAAGAAUUUACGUGGCAUCUUUGGAUAAUUGUUUGUAUUUUUGUCUGUGAAUGUUUAUCUUGUUUUAAUUAAUUAAAAAUACAAAAAUAUAUGUUGCAUGCAUAUUUAGGAUUUAAUUGUGCACUUAAGAAUUAACUGAACCAUGUUUUGUUUUUAAAAUAAAGAAAAUCACAAAAUAUGUAUUUGUUGCAUUUUUGUCGUUUUAUUGUCCAAUUGUGUGAUUUUAUUUUUUAUUAAUAUUUAAUCUUGUGUGUCGAUUAUUAUUUAGGUUUAAUUAAUAUUUUUAAUUUAAUUUUGGUUUUAUAAAUUAUUUUAGAAUUUUGGUAAUUAGGAAUUAAAAAGGAAAAUAAUAGAAAAGAAAAACAAGUGAAAUAAGAAACACAUUCGGAACUGGGUCAUUAUUUUUGGACCCAAAAUCAGGCCCAAAAUACCCCAUUUACCCGGUCCAAUAUGCCUGAUCUCUCAGAUGACUCAAACGACGCCGUUUAGGCGUCUAAAUCUGAACUGUUGAUUAAAUAGAUCAAACGGUCCAGUUCAGCCCCAGCAUUGGUUCAAACGACACUGUUUCAGGUGAUUAAAUCUGAACCAUCCGUUCCUUUUGAUCUAACGGUCCCAGGCUUCCCCCAUAACCCGGUCCAUUUCACCCUGGGUCGACCCAGUCUUGUAGCAUGGCCAAACGAUGUUGUUUCCUAUUAGUAAAAUGAUCCAGGCCGUUGAUCGUGAUUGAUCCAACGGCCAAGAUCAAACGCCCCUCCCGUAUAUAUCCCUAAUCCCUUACCCCACGCCCCCAAACCAAACCCCCCCUCACCCCAUCGUCUCUCUCUCAAGCUCAGAGACGAACCAGACCAAACCCUAGCCGCCAUUGUUACACCUUCGCCUGAAACCCGGCGGCAACAACGCCGCCGGUCACCAAAUUAACACCCCUAAGCCAUCUGACCACCCUCGUUACGAAUCCGUUAAUCAUUUGCCUCGAAUCAACCUCUAGCUUCUCGAAUGAGAAAAACCUAAACCUACCCUAACUAGUCCCAAACUCACACCACGACACCCCCUGACCUCCCUCGUGCCCAAAAUACUUUUGGCCUGGUUCGAAUCUUGCUAUAACCAUUCGAACCCCAAAUGGAACCAAGACCCCUAUAAAGACCAAACCUGGGUUUUGUCCGAAAUUAAAGGAAUUUGGGCGUCUAAUCGAUCUUAGUCGAAGUGUUCUCCAUUGAGAACACUCGAUUAAGGUCCGUUCAACCUCAAAAAGUUCGAGUCAAGAGUUCGACCCGGGUUCGUCUAGUUUCUGUUUUGUUAAGGUAUUUUUUUUUCUCCUUUCUUUCUUGUUCUAUUUUUGUUACGGUUAAUUGUGUUUAGUUUAGUUAUAAUCCAGUUUUUGUUCAUUGCUUCUUCUUCUUCUCCAAUCAGACCUUUUUAUUUGGUCUAGUAUGCUUCUGUUCAUGGUCGAAUAUAUGUUAUUAGCCAUGUAAUUUGUUAGUUUAUAAGUUCCUGGUUUUCGUCAAUACCACCCGAAUUACCUGUUGGUCUGUUUAUUCUGAUUGUUUGUUGUUAACUGCUAAAUGUUAUAGCAUGUGUAAUCAAUUGAAUAAGCGUCGUCGAUUAGUCUUUUAGGCUUUAAUGUUAUGUUAACAUGAUAAUAGUUCAACCUUUGGUUCAUACCAGUAUGUUUACCAUCUUGCAGCUUGUAUAUAUUUGAAUUAGAGUUGUGUUUGCUCAUUCCCUGUAUUUGGUUUGACCUCCUGUUCUUUAUAGUUGUUCGCAUGAACCUCCUUCCUUGAUUCAUACUACUUCAAUUUUGGCUUGUAUUAUUGAAUCCCUCCUUAAUCACUAGGUCUGAGUUGAUCAGGAUUGUCACACCUCCUUUUUCCGUCCCCGCGAGGGGUGAAGGAGUUUUUCCAAUUAAAGGCAAUCGAAACGGGAUUUGUUUAUUUAUUUUAGAGUCGCCACUUGGGAGAUUUAGGGUGUCCCAAGUCACCAAUUUAAUCCCGAAUCGAGGAAAAGAAUGACUCUGUAUUACAGUCUGCGAACCAGAAAUCCGGAUAAGGAAUUCUGUUAACCCGGGAGAAGGUGUUAGGCAUUCCCGAGUUCCGUGGUUCUAGCACGGUCGCUCAACUGUCAUAUUCGGCUUGAUUAUCUGAUUUAAUACAUAUUGAACCUAUGUGCGACUUUUAACUUUUAACCGCUUUUGUCAUUAUUAUUAUUUUUCUCAAGAAUUGCAACAUCGUGGAAACAUAUCUUGAACCACGUCACAUCAAUGCACCUGUGGUUGUUGGCAUAUUUCAACUCUGUUGAGAUUUGGAUUUGGGUCACAUAAAUGUGCACCCGAGUUUUAGGAAGUUAACAUUAUUAAAUACGUGCCUAAAAUAACUAGCGUAUCAUUAUUUUGGGUAGGGCCGUGAAAUUUGCUAAACGGCCCGUCCCGGAAUCUAAGCAAUUUUAAAGCAAAUAUUUACUGAGGGCCCCGCAGUUUUUGUGUUUUUAUUCGGCGAGGCUCAUCUCAUUCUUAUUUUUAAAAGGGAUUUGCAACGUCAUGGACACGCAUCUCAAACCACGUCCCAAUCAAUGCACCCGUGAUUAGAGACACAUUUCGACUCCGUUGAGAUUUGGAUUUGGGUCACAUAAAUGUGCACCCGAGUUUAAGGAUGCAAUUUAAUUAAAUCGCGUCUAAAGAGUCUAACGCGCUAUUAUCUUUGGGGAAGGCAGUGAAAUCCAUUAAGCAGUUCGUCCC
rnacentral:lncRNA from 1 species